rnacentral:lncRNA from 1 species
CAAUUACUGAUUUAUCAUACUAUGGAUGUUGUCUUUCUUUUGUUGGUAACAUUCAUGAGAAAGCUAAAGAUGCUUACAAAGCCACGCAGUGCUUUGGGGAAGAGAUGAGAAGAGCAGGGUGAAGGACAAAAAGCAGAGCCAAGGAUGUUGCUGCACCUUCUGGCCCUGCCGGUUGACUCGGUGUUGCUGAUAAUCUCCAGGGCUUGAGACAGAAGAUGAGCCACCGGUUUUCAAGCUCAAAGGUAUGUGUAACUGGACUUCCGGAACUUGAGUUACGCUGACUUCAUCCGGGUGCAGGUGUCUACUAGCAGGUUGGCCACACAGAUUGAAAUUUGGGGGUUUGAAAUUUAGCUGGAUAAAGAUAUAGGAAUUGAUAGCUGCU